UCCACCCACCUUGGCCUCCCAAAGUGCUGGGAUUACAGGCGUGAGCCACCGCGCCCAGGCCUGCUUAAACUUUCAAAACAAAAAAUUAUAUAACAUUUCUUGCCUAAAUUCCUUUUUAUAACAUUGUUCACGGCUAUCACAGACAAUCUUAAUUUUCUAACUUUAUUUAAUAACUUUCCUUACUAAAGGUGCAUUCUUAUAGCUAUAACUUUCUUAAUAUUUCUUUCUCUUUUUCCUAAUCUGACUUGUCUUUCUCUCUUUGCCUCCUUGUCUCUCUCUGCCUUUGUCUUUCUUUCUCUUUUUGACUCUCUUGUCUCUCUCUUUCUCUCCCUCUCCACCAUUUCUUCCCUUGGAAAGAGAAUACUUAGAAUGGACAGUAACUUGAUCUAAGUGUAUAACUGGGGAACUAAAAACUGAUUAAUCUGUUCUGCUACCCCAUCAGGGUCAUCUAAUAAUGACUUAAGUUCUCUCUUUAGACUCCUGACCUUAGAAGCAGUCAGUUAAGGGGGCAUUCACAAAACCAACCGCAUCUCCUCUUUGGGGCUUCACAAGCCAACCACGCCUCCUACUAGAGGCUUCACAAAACUAACCAAGCUUCCCCCAUGAGGCAUCUCCUUUAGGAAAAAAAACAACUUUGAAACUGAAGCUGAUUCCUUGAAAGAAGAGGAGAAAGGAAAACUUUGAAUAUCUCUUUUGCAUUGCUCUGUCUCCCGGAGCCCUUUCUUCGGGGAAGCAGAUCAGCCGGCAAUGAUCAGGCCUUUGAGAUGCCAGCUCCCAAGAGCCUGGGUUACACAAGGGAGUAGGGAAUUCUGAGUUGGGUUCUGGGGCAGCUCAGGAAAGAGGAGGCGGUGCUGUGGGGAUGGUGGGAGCAGAAGCUGGAGCUGGAAACUAGGGAAGAUGGUCUAAAGGGUCCCAUUUAUAUAUGGAUUGCUCACGGGUAAAAGCUCCACCCUUUUUAAGUGAGACUACUCCUGACUUCAUUCUACUUUCUGUUUUCCUCUUCUCUUAAUGGGUAGGGGAGAACUGGCCCCUGGUGCCAACAGAGAGCUUAGUCUUUCUUCUUUUUUUUUUUUUGUGUGUGUGUGUGUGUGUGAGAGAGAGAGAAGGUUUUUGUUAACAUACAUUAUUAAGAGUUGACAGACCUAAUCCCCACCUGACCCAAAUUUUGGCCAGACAACUGCAGGCUUGAGGAUCGAUUCUUUAGUCCAAACAAACAAACAAAAAAACAGCAAUACUUUAUCAAGGUUAUGAAGACUCAACCCCUCACGCUAGGACUCUCUUGCUUAUUCCUCCAAGGCAUGCCUUGGUGGAAAAAUUGCAGGUUUGAUUUCCUACCACCACAAUAAAGCAAAUAACAAAAUAAAGUCACACAAUAUUUUUGUUUCCUACUGCAUAUAAAAGUUACAUUCACCUUAUACUGUAGUCUGUUAAGUGUGCAAUAGCAUUAUCAUAUAAAAGUUAUGUUCACUCUAUACUGUACUAAGUGUACAAUAGCAUUAUAUCUUUUAAAAAUUUUUUUGCUAAAAAUGCUAGCAAUCACCUAAGCCUUUUGCAAGUCUUGAUCUUUUUGCUGCUGGAAGGUCUUGCCUCAAUGAUGUUGGCUGCCGACUGAUCAGGGAGGUGGUUGCUGAAGGCUGGGGUAGCUGUGGUAAUUAAAAUUUAAGACAAGAAUGAAGUUUGCCACACCUGUUGACUCUUCCUUUCACAAGAUUUUUCUGUAGCAUGUGAUGCUGUUUGAUAGCAUUUUACUCACAUUAGAACUUCUUUCAGAAAUUGGAGUCAGUACUCUCAAAUUCUGCUAAUACUUUGUCAACUAAGUUUAUAUAAUAUUCUAAAUCGUUUUUGUCGUUUCAGCAAUGUUCACAGUAUCUUCACCAGGUAUAGAUGCCAUGUCAAAAAAACCAUUUUAUUUUCUCUUCCAUAAAAAGCAACUCCUCAUCUAUUCAAGUUUUAUCAUGGGGUUGCAACAAUUCCAUCACAUCUUCAGGCUCUCU